AGCACGAUGGCCGAGUGGUUAAGGCGUUGGACUUAAGUUCCAAUGGUGGGUAACACCGCGUGGGUUCGAACCCCACUCGUGCUA
rnacentral:tRNA from 1 species